rnacentral:rRNA from 1 species
GACGAACCGUACGAACGUUAUUCGGAAUCACUGGGCUUAAAGGGUGCGUAGGCGGCGGCGAAAGUUGGGUGUGAAAUCCCUCGGCUCAACCGAGGAACGGCUGGGUAUACUGCGGGUCUUGAGCGGCCUAGGGGCAGACGGAACAAGUGGUGGAGCGGUGAAAUGCGUAGAUAUCACUUGGAACGCCGACGGUGAAAACAGUCUGCUGGGGGCCUGCUGACGCUGAGACACGAAAGCCAGGGGAGCGAACGGG